rnacentral:lncRNA from 1 species
UUUUCCUUUGCAGAUAUUUGCUAUGGUAAUUGCUGGUUUUCAGUUCUCAGAAGUCACUGCCACAUAACCAGAGGGUGGCUGACAGACCAGUUGUCUUAAAAGCUUUGGUUCUGCAGACUUGCUCAUCUGCUGUUCAGUAGCAACAUAAAAUAGCAACACAGGUUCUUAUAGUGCCAAAUCAUCCUGACUCUGCAGACAGCUCUUUCCAUAAUGUGCAUGAAAAGAUUAAAAGCCUGUAUCUACAGUCCUGCAGCACAGAGAAAAGAAAUCCUGAUCAUGUUAACCUCUGACAAUUUCACUUUUGCUGUGGGAACAUGAUGGGCUAUUUUCCAUUUCCUCAGAAGCUCGUUGGAAUUUACCCUGGAAUUCAUGUGAGAGCUUCAGCACUGUUGCACCAUCCUAUUCUUCCCUUUGGCUUCAAAGGGACUAUGCCAGCGCUGACUGCCAUCAUCCCUUUACCUUCUGGGCCCUGGUCCUGUGCUCCCACAUUAAAAGCUUUGUUGCUCUAAGAAGGUGUGUGCCAUCAUUGGGAGGGAAUGUACAACCCCUGGUGCCAGUGAGCCUGACUGGGGCAGGAGCCUCCUGGGGUUUGUGGGGAGAG